GCGGGGAGCACAGGAUCCUGUUAUGUGUCCCCCAUGCCCUGGGCUCCGGGGCCUGCGCUGCUGGAAUCGCGCUCCAGGCCCUGCAGCCGCCU
rnacentral:pre_miRNA from 1 species